AGAGACAGCAGUAGCCACGGGAAUACGUAGGUGGCGAGCGUUGUCCGGAAUCAUUGGGCGUAAAGGGAGCGCAGGCGGGCAUGUAAGUCUUUCUUAAAAGUUCGGGGCUCAACCCCGUGAUGGGAAAGAAACUACAUGUCUUGAGUACAGGAGGGGAAAGCGGAAUUCCCAGUGUAGCGGUGAAAUGCGUAGAUAUUGGGAGGAACACCAGUGGCGAAGGCGGCUUUCUGGACUGCAACUGACGCUGAGGCUCGAAAGCCAGGGGAGCGAACGGGAUUAGAUACCCGCGUAGUCCCUGUCUCUUAUACC
rnacentral:rRNA from 1 species